CCUACGGGAGGCUGCAGUAGGGAAUAUUUCACAAUGGGGGAAACCCUGAUGCAGCAACGCCGCGUGCGUGAAGAAGGAUUUCGGGAUGUAAAGCGCUAUUAGCAGGGAGGAAAAUGACGGUAACUUAUUAAGAAGCACCGGCUAACUACGUGCCAGCAGCCGCGGUAAUACGUAGGAGGCAAGCGUUAUCCGGAUUGACUGGGUGUAAAGGGAGCGUAGAGGGCAGAAAAAGUCCGGAUGGAAAUGCCGGGGCUUAACCCUCGAACUACUUUGGAAAAUGUGCAGAUAGAGUGCAUGAGAGGUAAGUGGAAUUCCUAGUGUAGGGGUGAAAUGCGUAGAUAUUAGGAGGAACACCAGUAGCGAAGGCAGCUUACUGGAAUGUAACUGACAUUGAGGCACGAAAGCGUAGGGAGCAAACGGGAUUAGAUACCCCAGUAGUC
rnacentral:rRNA from 1 species